rnacentral:rRNA from 1 species
UGGAGGAAAGUAGGGGAUCGUAAGACCUUGCGCUUUUGGAGCGGCCGAUGCCUGAUUAGCUAGUUGGUGGGGUAAAAGCCUACCAAGGCAACGAUCAGUAGUUGGUCUGAGAGGACGGCCAGCCACACUGGGACUGAGACACGGCCCAGACUCCUACGGGAGGCAGCAGUGGGGAAUUUUGGACAAUGGGCGCAAGCCUGAUCCAGCAAUGCCGCGUGAGUGAAGAAGGCCUUCGGGUUGUAAAGCUCUUUCAGUCGAGAAGAAAAGAUUGUGACUAAUAAUCACAAUUCAUGACGGUAUCGACAGAAGAAGCACCGGCUAACUACGUGCCAGCAGCCGCGGUAAUACGUAGGGUGCGAGCGUUAAUCGGAAUUACUGGGCGUAAAGGGUGCGCAGGCGGCUUUGUAAGUCAGAUGUGA